GAUGAACGCUAGCGGCAGGCUUAAUACAUGCAAGUCGAGGGACAGCACAGGUAGCAAUACUGGGUGGUAACCGGCAAACGGGUGCGGAACACGUACACAACCUUCCUUUAAGUGGGGGAUAGCCCAGAGAAAUUUGGAUUAAUACCCCGUAAUAUAGUUGAAUGGCAUCAUUUGAUUAUUAUAGCUACGGCGCUUAAUGAUGGGUGUGCGGCUGAUAAGAUGGUUGGCGGGGUAACGGCCCACCAAGUCUACGAUCAGUAGCUAAUGUGAGAGCAUGAUCAGACACACGGGCACUGAGACACGGGCCCGACUCCUACGGGAGGCAGCAGUAAGGAAUAUUGGUCAAUGGACGCAAGUCUGAACCAGCCAUGCCGCGUGAAGGAUUAAGGUCCUCUGGAUUGUAAACUUCUUUUAUUUGGGACCAAAAAGGGCCUUUCUAGGUCAACUGACGGUACCAGAUGAAUAAGCACCGGCUAACUCCGUGCCAGCCGCCGCCGUAACAC
rnacentral:rRNA from 1 species